AAAAGGAUAUCAGAUCUAGUACUGAUGUCUGUUUUGCCGAGUUACCGUGGGGUGUCGCCCGUUCACACUGCCUCACGGGCUGUUCCACUGUCGCCCAUAAAACUGAAGACCCUCCAGGCUCCUCUGUCCGUGGGAUUUCCCAGGCAAGAAUUGGGUUGCCAUUUCCUCCUCCAAGAGAUCUUCCCGACCCAGGAAUCAAAAUCGAAUCUCCGGCAACUCCUUGCAUUAGCAGGAAGAUUCUUUACCACUGAGCCACCUGGGAAGCUAGUCCAAGCAUGUGGCUCAAUUACAGUGUGACUAUCGGAAAGUUCCCUAACUUCUCUGGGCCUGUUUCCUCGCUGGUAGGAUGGGGAUUCCCACAGUAACUUCCUUCAUGUGGACGUCGCUAGGCUUCAUAUGAAGGUGAAUGUAUGGAAAGCUACUGUAUCGUCGAAGAUGCAGCCUGGCACGUACUGAGCACUCAGUAAAUGGCAGCCAUAGCCUUGAUCACAGCCACCCUCUCCCGACAGGGGCCACAGGGUCUGGAGCAGCAGAAGCAGCAGCCCUUGACGCCCUCCCCAGCCUGGUUCGGACCCAUCCUGGAGCACUCCCUUGGCUGCACAUGUGCUUGUGGGGUGGCGGCAAUCCUGUCUGGGUAAUGCAUCCAAAGACAACAGAUCAAUAGCCACUCGGCACUCCAAUGCCAUGGCUGAGGCCCACGGCACGUUCCAGGCUGCUGGCCAAUGAGUUCAAGCUCCUUUUUCCUUUUGGGCAGAAAACAACUCGCCAUGUAAGCUUGGACGAGUUCUUUUUUCCUCCUGGAAUCUUGGUUUCACUGACUGCAAGGUCAGCCUAUGGCCUCUAGUGCUCCUUUGAGCUCUGACCCCUUGGGAGUUUUGCAGACAGAAAGGCAAUAAAG
ensembl:lncRNA